GACGGACGCUGGCGGCGUGCCUAAUACAUGCAAGUAGAACGCACAGUUUAUACCGUAGCUUGCUACACCAUAGACUGUGAGUUGCGAACGGGUGAGUAACGCGUAGGUAACCUGCCUGGUAGCGGGGGAUAACUAUUGGAAACGAUAGCUAAUACCGCAUAAUAUUGAUUAUUGCAUGAUAAUUAAUUGAAAGGUGCAAUUGCACCACUACCAGAUGGACCUGCGUUGUAUUAGCUAGUAGGUGAGGUAACGGCUCACCUAGGCGACGAUACAUAGCCGACCUGAGAGGGUGAUCGGCCACACUGGGACUGAGACACGGCCCAGACUCCUACGGGAGGCAGCAGUAGGGAAUCUUCGGCAAUGGACGAAAGUCUGACCGAGCAACGCCGCGUGAGUGAAGAAGGUUUUCGGAUCGUAAAGCUCUGUUGUAAGAGAAGAACGGGUGUGAGAGUGGAAAGUUCACACUGUGACGGUAUCUUACCAGAAAGGGACGGCUAACUACGUG
rnacentral:rRNA from 1 species